rnacentral:rRNA from 1 species
CCUACGGGAGGCAGCAGUGGGGAAUAUUGGGCAAUGGGCGCAAGCCUGACCCAGCAACGCCGCGUGAAGGAAGAAGGCUUUCGGGUUGUAAAUUUCUUUUGACAGGGAAGAGCAGAAGACGGUACCUCUCGAAUAAGCCACGGCUAACUACGUGCCAGCAGCCGCGGUAAUACGUAGGUGGCAAGCGUUGUCCGGAUUUACUGGGUGUAAAGGGCGUGUAGCCGGGCUGACAAGUCAGAUGUGAAAUUCCGGGGCUCAACCCCCGGACUGCAUUUGAAACUGUUGGUCUUGAGUAUCGGAGAGGCAGGCGGAAUUCCUAGUGUAGCGGGGAAAUGCGGAGAUAAUAGGAGGAACACCAGUGGCGAAGGCGGCCUGCUGGACGACAACUGACGGUGAGGCGCGAAAGCGUGGGGAGCAAACAGGAUUAGAUACCCCAGUAGUC